rnacentral:rRNA from 1 species
UACAGAGGGUGCGAGCGUUAAUCGGAAUUACUGGGCGUAAAGCGUGCGUAGACGGUUAUUUAAGUCGGGUGUGAAAGCCCCGGGCUCAACCUGGGAAUUGCAUUCGAGACUGAAUAGCUAGGGUACGGUAGAGGGAAGUGGGAAUUUCCGGUGUAGCGGUGAAAAUUCGUAGAUAUUAGGAAAGAACACCAGUGGCGAAGGCGGCUCACUGGCCCGGUAC